UUACCGGAGGUAAAGCACUGAAUAGGCUAGGGGGCGAGAGUCUACCGACCCUUAUCAAACUCUGAAUGCCGGAUAAUUGAUGCACAGCAGUCAGACAGUGUGAGAUAAGUUUCAUUGUCAAAAGGGAAACAGCCCAGACCCACAGCUAAGGUCCCAAAUGUAUGUUAAGUGGAAAAGGAUGUCCAGUUGCACAAACAACCAGGAUGUUGGCUUAGAAGCAGCCACACAUUCAAAGAGUGCGUAACAGCUCACUGGUCGAGUGACCGGGCGCCGAAAAUGUAACGGGGCUAAACAUAUAACCGAAGCUUGGGCUGCACAGCAAUGUGCGGGGUAGGGGAGCGUUGUGUGCGGGGUGAAGCAUGAGCGGAAGCGCGUGUGGACUGCACAGAAGUGAGAAUGCCGGAAUGAGUAGCGCGAAUUAUGUGAGAAUCAUAAUGGCCGAAAGCCUAAGGUUUCUGGAGGAAGGUUCGUCCGCUCCAGGUUAGCCGGGAGCUAAGGUGAGGCCGAAAGGCGUAGCCGAUGCACAUACGGUGGAGAUUCCGUAGCCAUCAAAAGAUUUAAGCAGAGGGACACAGUAGAAGGGUACAUGCCGGGCGUUGGUAGCCCCGGUUGCAAGGGACCGAAAUUAGAGUAGGGAAGAUGGACUUGGAUACUGGCGAGAAAAGCUCUGUGGAUAUCUGCGAUGCCCGUACCGCAAACCGACACAGGUAGGUAGGAAGAGGAUUCUAAGGCCAACGGGAGAAGGGUUGUUAAGGAACUCGGCAAGUUGACCCCGUAACUUCGGGAGAAGGGGUGCUCUGGAAACAGAGCCGCAGAGAAUAGGUCCAGGCAACUGUUUAGCAAAAACACAGCUCUCUGCUAAAUCGAAAGAUGAUGUAUAGGGGGUGACGCCUGCCCGGUGCUGGAAGGUUAAGAGGAGGAGUGAGAGCCCCGAAUCGAAGCCCCAGUAAACGGCGGCCGUAACUAUAACGGUCCUAAGGUAGCGAAAUUCCUUGUCAGGUAAGUUCUGACCCGCACGAAAGGCGUAAUGAUCUGGACACUGUCUCAACAGCCCACCCGGCGAAAUUGUAGUACCGGUGAAGAUGCCGGUUACCCGCGACAAGACGGAAAGACCCCAUGGAGCUUUACUGCAGCCUAAUAUUGGAUUUCGGUAUUUCAUGUACAGGAUAGGUGGGAGACUGGGAAACACAGGCGUCAGCUUGUGCGGAGUCGCCCUUGGGAUACCACCCUUGAAGUGCUGGAAUUCUAACCUGUGGCCAUGAAUCUGGUCAGGGGACAUUGUUAGGCGGGCAGUUUGACUGGGGCGGUCGCCUCCAAAAGAGUAACGGAGGCGCUCAAAGGUUUGCUCAGCAUGGCCGGAAACCAUGCCUUAGAGUGUAAACGCAAAAGCAAGCCUAACUGCGAGACCGACGGGUCGAGCAGAAACGAAAGUUGGAGUUAGUGAUCCGGUGGUAUGUGAGUGGAAA
rnacentral:rRNA from 1 species